AAAUGGAAUUAUGGUACUAUAUUAAUUAUAUGACUGGCACUGUUUGAAGUAACUAAAAUAAUUUCUAUCCAUAUCUAAUAUUCAGUUCAAUUGGAAUCAUCCAACAGAAGGAAAAAGCAUUGUCAAAUUGUCGAGGAGGUCGGCACAAAUGUCUCGUAUAUAGAGUAGCAGUAGCCAACUAUCACGUUUCAUUAAUGCCUCUUAUUCCGUUAACGUUGGAGAUCGAGCGCGCGUGCGCCUCGCUCUCUCUCGCUCGUUCGUUCCGACCUGUCUGUCGUCGUCGCGAUUACGCGCCACUUGUUAAGGACAGGUGGAACCGACGCGCGCGCUCACGAUUACCGCUUACGUUCCAUCACGACACGAAGUUCAAGAUAAGAAGAAAAUUUGCAAGCCUGCGACACCGAUCCCGUCAUCCUCGAAUGCCCGCGUGGAAUUUGUCGUAUCGCCAGCGGCUUUCUACUUUUCCGCGCCGAGCGUUUAAGGGAUCUCAGGAGCGUGGCUCCCGGAGAGGAAAUAUAACCCUGUUCCAUCGUUCGUCACGUUCGGCGCGAUAAAUCGACCGCGGAAGGUCGUCAUGCGAGUCAAGCGGCGUGGAAUCAUCCGGCCAUGCGGUCCAUGCAGUCACUAAGAUGGGAAAGGACAGUGAUCUCGGCGACGCCGACAGAUCGCGCGGAGAGGUGGAAGCGCAUUGAACCGACGGCGACGCCGGCAGUAAAUUGGAUCACCUUCAAAAAUUCACCGCCCGUUAAGAACCGGCGCGAUGAUUCGCGAUGAUUACGCGCGGGUAGUACGAGGGAAAACGCUAGACGCGCGGAAAUUCGGUACGAGGCGCGACGCGACGGGCGCGGAUUCGCGACUUACGUGGCGGGUUAAAUAUAAGCGGCGCGACGCGCGGCAGCCGUUCCGACGAUCGCGUCCCCGAGAGCGCUUGCUCCUCCACGUAGUAGGCGUCGUAGUCGCAGCAGCAAGAUAAUCCAAACGUUCGGACGCUCGGUUGGCGAUUACGCCGUCCUUGAAAUUCGCGGAAGCGCGAGGAGAGAUGUUCGUUGCGACAUUUAGAGCGACCCCUCGCCAUUCCAAAGAGGAGAUUCCUUUGUGGCAAUAUUACAAUUUUUCCGAGAUUAGAUAUGAAUUUUGUAAAACGAUUUCUCAUGGUAUCAUUAAAUAUCAUACGAUGAAAUAUGUCAGUUCAUCGAAGCAAUUGAAGAUAUUCGAAAUUGCGUACGUUAUAAAUUCUAUGACUUCAAUAUCUCAAUCUUGUUUGCCGUAAAUGUUCGAUGAUUCCAGUGUGUCGAAUAUGAGAAUAAAUUGAUUCAAAACACGCGCAUAUAUCGUACAAAAGGAAUUAAAAUGUAUCAAAGCAAUACUGCGGGGAUUACAACGAAUUUAUAAUGUGGCUCAAUGAAAAUUGCAUUUGAAAGUAAAUUCCACUAAAUUUCCAUACAAUUUUUUUUUUUUUUUGGUAGCAGUUUAUACUUUAACUAACGGUUAAAAACAUGUUCCGUAAAUUAAUAAAAGUUAGUGCUGCGAAUUUAAACGUAAAAUGUGCCUGCAUACCCGUGCUAUAUCAGGCGCGAAUUAAAAUAUUCACGUGCGUUUACAUAAGUUAGCUGCCAUAUUGCCGGGCUGUCUGCAAAAGGGAAAUAUGUACACGCGCCUGUUGAAGCAUCCCUUUCCAUAUUAACAAUAUUGCCGCGUGCUAUAUCCCAAAACUGAUCGAGAAUUCUGCAUCGACGACGACGACGACAACGUUUCAGCGCUAAAAAAAAAAAA